rnacentral:rRNA from 1 species
GGAUAAUCUGCCCUCAGGUGAGGAAUAAUCCCGGGAAACUGGGGCUAAUGCCUCAUAGGAGACGGGUGCUGGAAUGCUCUGUCUCCGAAAGGUCCGCCGCCUGAGGAUGAGUCUGCGUCCGAUUAGGUAGUUGUUGGGGUAACGGCCCAACAAGCCUUUGAUCGGUACGGGUUGUGGGAGCAAGAGCCCGGAGAUGGAUUCUGAGACAUGAAUCCAGGCCCUACGGGGCGCAGCAGGCGCGAAAACUUUACAAUGCGAGCAAUCGUGAUAAGGAAACCCUGAGUGCCUGUCAAUGCAGGCUGUUCUGGUGUCUAACACACACCAGGAGAAAGGGCGGGGCAAGACCGGUGCCAGCCGCCGCGGUAAUACCGGCUGCUCGAGUGAUAGCCACUUUUACUGGGCUUAAAGCGUUCGUAGCUUGGUCGUUAAGUCUCUGGGGAAAUCUUUUGGCUCAACCAAAAGGCGUCUCAGGGAAACUGACGAUCUUGGAACCGGGAGAGGUAAGACGUACUUCGGGGGUAGGAGUGAAAUCUUGUAAUCCCCGAGGGACGACCGAUGGCGAAGGCAUCUUACCAGAACGGCUUCGACAGUGAGGGACGAAAGCUGGGGGAGCAAACCGGAUUAGAUACCCGGGUAGUCCCAGCCGUAAACGAUGUGCGUUAGGUGUGUCAGUGACCACGAGUCGCUGAGGUGCCGAAGGGAAACCGUGAAACGCACCGCCUGGGAAGUACGGUCGCAAGGCUGAAACUUAA